UACAGAGGUCCCAAGCGUUGUUCGGAUUCACUGGGCGUAAAGGGUGCGUAGGUGGCGAGGUAAGUCUGAUGUGAAAUCUCCGAGCUUAACUCGGAAAUGGCAUUGGAAACUACUUUGCUUGAGGACUCGAGAGGGACACGGAAUUCCGGGUGGAGUGGUGAAAUGCGUAGAGAUCCGGAGGAACACCGAAGGCGAAGGCAGUGUCCUGGCGAGUGACUGACGCUGAGGUGCGAAAGCCAGGGGAGCGAACGGG
rnacentral:rRNA from 1 species